rnacentral:rRNA from 1 species
CUAGGUCGGAUUUUAUCUUGUGGUGAGGUAAUGGGUCACCAAGGCGACAAUCCGUAAUCUGGGCUGAGAGGAUGAUCUCUCACACUGGAACUGAGACACGGUCCCCACUCCUACGGGAGGCACCAGUGGGGAAUAUUGGACAAUGGGCGAAAGCCUGAUCCAGCCAUGCCGCGUGUGUGAAAAAGGUCUUCGGAUUGUAAAGCACUUUAAGUUGGGAGGAAGGGCACUAAGCGAAUACCUUGCUGUUUUGACGUUACCGACAGAAUAAGCACCGGCGAACUCUGUGCCAGCACCCGCGGUAAUACACAGGGUGCAAGCGUUAAUCGCAAUUACUGGGCGUAAAGCGCGCGUAGGUGGUUCGUUAAAUUGGAUGUGAAAUCCCCGGGCUCAACCUGGGAACUGCAUCCAAAACUGUCGAGCUAUAGUAUGGCAGAGGGUGGUGGAAUUUUCUGUGUAGCGGUGAAAUGCGUAUAUAUAGGAAGAGAACACCAGUGGCGAAGGCGACAACCUGUGCUCAUACUGACACUGAGGUGCGAAAGCGUGGGGAGCAAACAGGAUUAUAUACCCUGGUAGUCCACGCCGUAAACGAUGUCAACUAUCCGUUGUAGUCCUUGAGAUUUUAUUGGCGCAGCUAACGCAUUAUAUUGACCGCCUGUGGAGUACGGCCGCACAGUGAAAACUCAAAUGAAAUUGACGGGGGCCCGCACAAGCGCUGUAGCAUGUGAUUUUAUUUCUAAGCAACGCGCAGAACACUACACGACCUUGACAUCCCACUGAACUUUCCAGAGAUAGAUUGGUGCCUUCUGCAACAUUGAA